CGACACACUAUCGUUAACUGAAUACAUAGGUUAACGAGGCGAACCGGGGGAACUGAAACAUCUAAGUACCCCGAGGAAAAGAAAUCAACCGAGAUUCCCCCAGUAGCGGCGAGCGAACGGGGAGCAGCCCGGAGUCUGAAUCAGCUUGUGUGUUAGUGGAACGGUCUGGAAAGUCCGACGGUACAGGGUGAUAGUCCCGUACACGAAAAUGCACUUGCUGUGAACUCGAAGAGUAGGGCGGGACACGUGGUAUCCUGUCUGAAUAUGGGGGGACCAUCCUCCAAGGCUAAAUACUCCUGACUGACCGAUAGUGAACCAGUACCGUGAGGGAAAGGCGAAAAGAACCCCGGCGAGGGGAGUGAAAAAGAACCUGAAACCGUGUACGUACAAGCAGUGGGAGCCUCUUUAUGGGGUGACUGCGUACCUUUUGUAUAAUGGGUCAGCGACUUAUAUUCUGUAGCAAGGUUAACCGUAUAGGGGAGCCGAAGGGAAACCGAGUCUUAACUGGGCGUUAAGUUGCAGGGUAUAGACCCGAAACCCGGUGAUCUAGCCAUGGGCAGGUUGAAGGUUGGGUAACACUAACUGGAGGACCGAACCGACUAAUGUUGAAAAAUUAGCGGAUGACCUGUGGCUGGGGGUGAAAGGCCAAUCAAACCGGGAGAUAGCUGGUUCUCCCCGAAAGCUAUUUAGGUAGCGCCUCGUGAACUCAUCUUCGGGGGUAGAGCACUGUUUCGGCUAGGGGGCCAUCCCGGCUUACCAACCCGAUGCAAACUACGAAUACCGAAGAAUGUUAUCACGGGAGACACACGGCGGGUGCUAACGUCCGUCGUGAAGAGGGAAACAACCCAGACCGCCAGCUAAGGUCCCAAAGUCAUGGUUAAGUGGGAAACGAUGUGGGAAGGCACAGACAGCCAGGAUGUUGGCUUAGAAGCAGCCAUCAUUUAAAGAAAGCGUAAUAGCUCACUGGUCGAGUCGGCCUGCGCGGAAGAUGUAACGGGGCUAAACCAUGCACCGAAGCUGCGGCAGCGACACUAUGUGUUGUUGGGUAGGGGAGCGUUCUGUAAGCCGUUGAAGGUGUGCUGUGAGGCAUGCUGGAGGUAUCAGAAGUGCGAAUGCUGACAUAAGUAACGAUAAAGCGGGUGAAAAGCCCGCUCGCCGGAAGACCAAGGGUUCCUGUCCAACGUUAAUCGGGGCAGGGUGAGUCGACCCCUAAGGCGAGGCCGAAAGGCGUAGUCGAUGGGAAACAGGUUAAUAUUCCUGUACUUGGUGUUACUGCGAAGGGGGGACGGAGAAGGCUAUGUCAGCCGGGCGACGGUUGUCCCGGUUUAAGCAUGUAGGCGGAGGUUCCAGGUAAAUCCGGUACCUUUUAACGCUGAGGUGUGAUGACGAGGCACUACGGUGCUGAAGUGAUAAAUGCCCUGCUUCCAGGAAAAGCCUCUAAGCAUCAGGUAACACGAAAUCGUACCCCAAACCGACACAGGUGGUCAGGUAGAGAAUACCAAGGCGCUUGAGAGAACUCGGGUGAAGGAACUAGGCAAAAUGGUGCCGUAACUUCGGGAGAAGGCACGCUGAUAUGUAGGUGAAGUCCCUGCGGACGGAGCUGAAAUCAGUCGAAGAUACCAGCUGGCUGCAACUGUUUAUUAAAAACACAGCACUGUGCAAACACGAAAGUGGACGUAUACGGUGUGACGCCUGCCCGGUGCCGGAAGGUUAAUUGAUGGGGUUAGCGGCAACGCGAAGCUCUUGAUCGAAGCCCCGGUAAACGGCGGCCGUAACUAUAACGGUCCUAAGGUAGCGAAAUUCCUUGUCGGGUAAGUUCCGACCUGCACGAAUGGCGUAAUGAUGGCCAGGCUGUCUCCACCCGAGACUCAGUGAAAUUGAACUCGCUGUGAAGAUGCAGUGUACCCGCGGCAAGACGGAAAGACCCCGUGAACCUUUACUAUAGCUUGACACUGAACACUGGUCCUUGAUGUGUAGGAUAGGUGGGAGGCUUUGAAGCGUGGACGCCAGUCUGCGUGGAGCCAUCCUUGAAAUACCACCCUUUAAUGGCUGGUGUUCUAACGUAGACCCGUGAUCCGGGUUGCGGACAGUGUCUGGUGGGUAGUUUGACUGGGGCGGUCUCCUCCCAAAGAGUAACGGAGGAGCACGAAGGUUGGCUAAUCCUGGUCGGACAUCAGGAGGUUAGUGCAAUGGCAUAAGCCAGCUUGACUGCGAGCGUGACGGCGCGAGCAGGUGCGAAAGCAGGUCAUAGUGAUCCGGUGGUUCUGAAUGGAAGGGCCAUCGCUCAACGGAUAAAAGGUACUCCGGGGAUAACAGGCUGAUACCGCCCAAGAGUUCAUAUCGACGGCGGUGUUUGGCACCUCGAUGUCGGCUCAUCACAUCCUGGGGCUGAAGUAGGUCCCAAGGGUAUGGCUGUUCGCCAUUUAAAGUGGUACGCGAGCUGGGUUUAGAACGUCGUGAGACAGUUCGGUCCCUAUCUGCCGUGGGCGCUGGAGAAUUGAGGGGGGCUGCUCCUAGUACGAGAGGACCGGAGUGGACGCAUCACUGGUGUUCGGGUUGUCAUGCCAAUGGCACUGCCCGGUAGCUAAAUGCGGAAGAGAUAAGUGCUGAAAGCAUCUAAGCACGAAACUUGCCCCGAGAUGAGUUCUCCCUGAGACUUUAAGUCUCCUGAAGGAACGUUGAAGACGACGACGUUGAUAGGUCGGGUGUGUAAGCGCAGCGAUGCGUUGAGCUAACCGAUACUAAUGAACCGUGAGGCUUAACCUUACAACGCCGAAGGUGUUU
rnacentral:rRNA from 1 species